AGGCUUGCUCUUGCUCAUGAGCAAUGACGGCGAUGUCAUAGCAAGCAGUAAGAAGGUUGGAAACGCAGUGGUGGCUAUUAUUUACCACUGCAUGAGGACGCCACUUUUAGUAUCGAAAAGAAUGGUGGCAAUGUUGUGCUGUGGUAGAAUGGGAUUAGCCAGGUGGAAGGACCUCAAUAUCAGCUGGUUGUUACCAAUGAUCCCAAGCUCUAUGUCAUGGUUGGUGGCAAAACUGUGAACAUCAUUCUGGAAUGAGUGCCUGACUCGAAUAUGUGUAUGUACUUUGGGCAAUGUCAAGAUCUCGACAUUGCAGAUAUCUGAAUAAAUUUGGACGUUUAC
rnacentral:lncRNA from 1 species